rnacentral:rRNA from 1 species
UACGAAGGGGGCUAGCGUUGAUCGGAAUCACUGGGCGUAAAGCGCACGUAGGCGGAUUGUUAAGUCAGGGGUGAAAUCCUGGAGCUCAACUCCAGAACUGCCUUUGAUACUGGCGAUCUUGAGUUCGGGAGAGGUGAGUGGAACUGCGAGUGUAGAGGUGAAAUUCGUAGAUAUUCGCAAGAACACCAGUGGCGAAGGCGGCUCACUGGCCCGAUACUGACGCUGAGGUGCGAAAGCGUGGGGAGCAAACAGG